UCCGGGGGGGACAGAGGGGGGACUUGGGGGAUCCCUGAAGGGAAUCUGGGGGGCUGGCGGGGACCCCGCGUCACUCCCCGCAUCCCCCCCGCAGAAGCUCAGCCUGGAGCAGCGAACGGAGCGUCUGAUGCAAAGGAGCCAGGCCCUGCUCAGGCCCCGCCCCUGCGGGCCAGAGGGGGCGGGGCCUCUGCUUGGCUCCGCCCCCUCCAGCUCCAUGCUCGAUGACCCCCUCGUUCAAUGGCGCUCGAGGCGGUGCCGAGGGGCGGAGCCAUCGCUGGACACGCCCCUGGUAGGCGGGCCCAUGCUGGGCUCUGCUGCUCCCCAGGGCGCCCUGCACGGAGUGCCACGGGGGCGGUCGCUGGGGGCCCCCGGGGCCCUGCAGGGCGCAGCACCCUGGGAGUCACGUGACCCCUCUAAGGCCCCAUGGCCAAUCAGGAGACACUUCCGCAAGCAGCAGGGGGCGUCUGCACCCCAGGCUGUCUCCCCGGAACCCUUGUGGCAGGAGCCAUGUUGGAGGUCACAUGACUCCCACAAGGCCCGCUGGCCAAUAAGGAGCAGCUCACUGGAUACCCUGCAGGGGGCAGGAUACUCACAGUCACGUGACUCCCACGAGGCCCUGUGGCAAAUCAGCAGCUGUUGUGCAUCUGCGCACCAGGGGGCGCCACUCCAUGGGAAGCAAGAGUGCCACGAGCCCUUGCGGCAUGAGCCAUUUUGGGACUUAUAUGACUGCCUCGGAGAUCUGCAGUGUGCACCAUAUCGGAAGUCACGUGACUCCCAGGAUGCCCUGCGGCCAGUAAGGGAGGCGCAUCCUGAGCUCCUGUGCCGGGGAGCGCCAGGCUUGGGGUCACGUGACCCCUGCAAGGCCCCACAGCCAAUCCGGAGCAGUGCCGGUGAUGCCCUACAGGGGGCGCCAUUGCAGCAGCCACUGGGCCCACUGGGGGACCCCCUCCUCUGGAUGCUGCGACGCCACCGCCGGGCCAUAAGGGGACGCCUUCGGGCCAUCGAGACUCUUCUGGAAUGCCCACCUGGGCACCCCCAACCCAUGGUGGGACCAAUAAAGCAGUGACACCCCAAAAUUGCACCAGGGAGGUGGGGAGACCCCCAGAAUCCUCUCCUUUACCUCCCCUACCUUUAGGAUUGCCCCAAUCCCCUCUCCCCCCAUAUGCCCCCAAGAGCAUUUCGGGGAUUCUGGGAGCUCGAAGGAGGGUGUUGCUGAGGUGCUGGGUGUCUCUGGGGGGUCCAUGAGGAUCUGUGGGGUGUUUGGAGGGGCUCUGAGGCUGCAGAAGGGGUUUGGGGGGUGCAUGGGGAGCGCUGGAAAUUGGGAGUGGUUUGGGAGGCCCUAGGUCUCUAUAGGGGUUCUGGAAGAAACCUGUGGGAUUUUGGGGGGGCACUCUAUGGGUGUUGAGGGAGAUCUGUGGAAGAUGUUGGGGGUCCAGAAAGGGGUUUGCAGGGACCCUUGGGUUUUGGGGGUCUUUAAGGGUCCGGGGGUCUGUGGGAUGUUUUGGGAAUCCCAGGACAGGGCUGGAGGGUCUGUGAGGACCAGGAAGUCUACAGGGGUGUCUGGGGGGUUACUGAGCGUAUCGGGGCAGGGAACCCCCAAACCUGUGGGGCCGUGGCUCACCUGUCUUCUUACCCUCACGGCCGACGUGGCGUCGGGGCAUUCUGGUGUUGCCCUGCCCCUGAGAGCGCUCUGGGGGGUCAUGAGGGGCCUCAGAAACCCCUCCUGAGCCCCCCAAAAUCCCUGGGGAAACCCCUGGGGCCCCCCCCCCGCCUCCAGCUCACCGCUGGCUCGCGCCAGUUUACUCGCUUUCUGGACUACAAUUCCCGAAAUGCCGCGGGCCCCGGAGAACGCCUUGGGGGGGGGGGGGGGGGGGGGGGGGGGGGGGGGGGGGGGGGGGGGGGGGGGGGGGGGGGGGGGGGGGGGG
rnacentral:lncRNA from 12 species